CUGCGACUUACCACCAUAUGAAAAAGUUACAUCUGUCCACACAGAAAAUUGCAUCUCAACAAACCUGUCAUUGGUACGCGAACUACAUUUCAGUCACUCAGUAAAGUGAUAACUCAAAAUAUCAGUGUCAACAGAUCUGGAGAAAUUGCCACUGCGUCUUUAGACCGCUUUCGUCAGACGAGAGACACAGUUCUGACUCUGAUUACUGGUUGCUGUACGUAUCUAUCCACAUCAAGGCUGUUGAGAGAGUCGUGAAGAUUCAAGACAGCUCUUAGAAGAUUUUGCAGUUUAAAAGUGACAUAAUUAUGAAAUAAGUGUGCAGAUGAGUGGUUAAACUGUGUUUUAUUGA